rnacentral:lncRNA from 1 species
CAGCGCAGGGGCUGCUGCUUUGCCACGAAAGAGUUCCCGUGCCGUGGGAGCAAGUCUGGGACCGCUGGUCGGACCGGAGAGUCGCAGCUGUGUGUUAGGGCUAGGAUGGCUCCGGGAUGCGCGUGACGCAAGUGACCUUGCGUGUAAAGGAGUGUGAAGAGUGCAAAGACCUUAUAGAAUCUGUGCUGGAGGAGGAGGUGCAGUUUCAGGAGAGGGAGCUGGCCGAAUUGCCGAGGUCAGCUGCAAGGCUCCGGAUACAUGAUCCCUUAAUUCAGGCUCAGGCUGAAGAACUGACCCACUUACGACAGAAGACACAGGAAGGGAGAGGUGUCUGCUACCUUUUUACCCAGCAUGUGAAGAACACAGUCAAGUCUUUUGAGGGCCUUCUCAGGAACACUGGCAUUGCCUACUACCAGAGACAGAGAUUCUGUGAGCAAAUGGUACAAGGAAGCCAGCUGACAGAGAUCCUUGUCAGAAAACUUGUCACAGAAAAUCACAACGGUAAGAAAAAUGAAGACAGGCAAAAGCCACUGGCUCCUAGGUAACUCUAUAUGAUGAAGGGGCUGAUAAUGGACUGACCAAAUCUAGAGAGGAUUCCAGAAGCAAGGACUCAAGAGGUUAAAGGUCCCAGAUAUAGAAAAAGCAGAAACUGCUGAUUGUUCCUUUUUUUGUUGACUGAUUAUACAAUGUGUCCUUUUAAAAAUGGUUCUCUGUUCUCUUUGCAGUUCUUGUAUUGGUUCCUAGUUCCUACUAAUUUCUCACACUUAGUUAACUAGUCAGUCUUACUGAAAAGUAAACUAACCAGGGAUCCCUGGUUUCUGUAUCUUUCAAACCUAUAGGGUUACAAACCAAAGUGAGAUGCCUAUCUGGUUUCUGCACAGUUGUCCUGAAUUAUGUUGGCAGAUAUUUUAUACCUAGAAAUUCACCUUGAAAAAUAAAUUGAAACCAUACCAAGUAUUUAGAGCUAGGGGUCUAAAGUCUGCAAAAGCCCUGGGAGGUUGCGUUGUCUCAAGAGCCAGUAUUCAAUGGACCACUCCACAUCAUAGUAAAUAAAAUUUGAACACAGCAUUUUGAAGCCAAUA